GGGGGGGGGGGGGGGGGGGGGGGGGGGGGGGGGGGCGGGGGGGGGGGCGGGGGGCGGGCUGCUGUGGCGGUAGCGGCGGGCGGGUGGGGGACGCGGGGGUCACCUACCUGGCGGGCGGGGAUCACUGCGGGCGACCGGAGCUCAUACCGGAUAAGAUAUUGCACCUCGUUGUUCGUUCGUUCCAGACUGUUUUGCUGUCACUUCUAGAUGGAUCCGCGCCGCCUUAGCUAGUUGGUAAGGUAACGGCUUACCAAGGCAACGAUGCGUAGCCGACCUGAGAGGGUGAUCGGCCACACUGGAACUGAGACACGGUCCAGACUCCGACGGGAGGCAGCAGUAGGGAAUCUUCCGCAAUGGGCGAAAGCCUGACGGAGCAACGCCGCGUGAGUGAUGAAGGUCUUCGGAUCGUAAAACUCUGUUAGUAGGGAAGAACAAAUGUGUAAGUAACUAUGCACGUCUUGACGGUACCUAAUCAGAAAGCCACGGCUAACUACGUG
rnacentral:rRNA from 1 species